UACGAAGGGGGCUAGCGUUGCUCGGAAUUACUGGGCGUAAAGCGCACGUAGGCGGCUUUCUAAGUCGGGGGUGAAAUCCUGGAGCUCAACUCCAGAACUGCCUUCGAUACUGGAGAGCUCGAGUCCGGGAGAGGGUAGUGGAAUUCCCGGUGUAGUGGUGAAAUGCGUAGAUAUCGGGAGGAACACCAGUGGCGAAGGCGACUACCUGGCCUGUUCUUGACGCUGAGGCGCGAAAGCUGGGGGAGCAAACGGG
rnacentral:rRNA from 1 species